GACGAACGCGGCGGCGUGCCUUAUACUGCAAGUAGAACGCACAGUUUAUACCCGUAGCUUGCUACACCAUAGACUGUGAGUUGCGAACGGGUGAGUAACGCGUAGGUAACCUCCCUGGUAGCGGGGGAUAACUAUUGGAAACGAUAGCUAAUACCGCAUAAUAUUAAUUAUUGCAUGAUAAUUGAUUGAAAGAUGCAACUGCAUCACUACCAGAUGGACCUGCGUUGUAUUAGCUAGUAGGUGAGGUAACGGCUCACCUAGGCGACGAUACAUAGCCGACCUGAGAGGGUGAUCGGCCACACUGGGAUGAGACACGGCCCAGACUCCUACGGGAGGCAGCAGUAGGGAAUCUUCGGCAAUGGACGAAAGUCUGACCGAGCAACGCCCGCGUGAGUGAAGAAGGUUUUCGGAUCGUAAAGCUCUGUUGUAAGAGAAGAAACGGGUGUGAGAAGU
rnacentral:rRNA from 1 species